rnacentral:rRNA from 1 species
UACGGAAUGUGCAAACGUUAUUCGGAAUCACUGGGCAUAAAGGGUGCGUAGGCGGUUUGUUAAGUCAGGGGUGAAAGUUUUCGGCCCAACCGGAAAAUUGCCUUUGAUACUGGCGAACUUGAGUGCGUGAGGGGUAACCGGAACGAGCAGUGUAGCGGUGAAGUGCGUAGAUAUUGCUCGGAAGGCCAACGGCGAAGGCAGGUUACUGGUACGCAACUGACGCUGAGGCACGAAAGCGUGGGGAGCAAACAGG